rnacentral:rRNA from 1 species
GACGAACGCUGGCGGCGUGCUUAACACAUGCAAGUCGCACGGAGUGGCGAACGGGUGAGUAACACGUGGGUGAUCUGCCUUGCACUCUGGGAUAAGCUUGGGAAACUGGGUCUAAUACCGGAUAGUGCAAGAUGAGCUCGCGGCCUAUCAGCUUGUUGGUGGGGUAAUGGCCUACCAAGGCGUCGUCGGGUAGCCGGCCUGAGAGAGUGUACGGCCACAUUUGGUCUGAGAUACGGCCCAGACGCGUACGGGGGGCAGCAGUGGGGAAUAUUGCACAAGGUGCGGAAGCCGGAUGCAGCGACGCAGCGUGGGGGAUGACGGCCUUCGGUUUGUAAACUCCUUUCGGCAGGGACGCGGUACCUGUAUAAGAAGCACCGGCUAACUACGUGCCAGCAGCCGCGGUAAUUC